CCUACGGGUCGCAGCAGUGGGGAAUUUUGGACAAUGGGCGAAAGCCUGAUCCAGCCAUGCCGCGUGCAGGAUGAAGGCCUUCGGGUUGUAAACUGCUUUUGUACGGAACGAAAAGACUCUGGUUAAUACCUGGGGUUCAUGACGGUACCGUAAGAAUAAGCACCGGCUAACUACGUGCCAGCAGCCGCGGUAAUACGUAGGGUGCAAGCGUUAAUCGGAAUUACUGGGCGUAAAGCGUGCGCAGGCGGUUAUGUAAGACAGAGGUGAAAUCCCCGGGCUCAACCUGGGAACUGCCUUUGUGACUGCAUAGCUGGAGUACGGCAGAGGGGGAUGGAAUUCCGCGUGUAGCAGUGAAAUGCGUAGAUAUGCGGAGGAACACCGAUGGCGAAGGCAAUCCCCUGGGCCUGUACUGACGCUCAUGCACGAAAGCGUGGGGAGCAAACAGGAUUAGAUACCCUAGUAGUC
rnacentral:rRNA from 1 species